rnacentral:rRNA from 1 species
CCUACGGGUGGCAGCAGUGAGGAAUAUUGGUCAAUGGACGAGAGUCUGAACCAGCCAAGUAGCGUGAAGGAUGACUGCCCUAUGGGUUGUAAACUUCUUUUAUAUGGGAAUAAAAUGUUCCACGUGUGGGAUUUUGUAUGUACCAUAUGAAUAAGGAUCGGCUAACUCCGUGCCAGCAGCCGCGGUAAUACGGAGGAUCCGUUCGUUAUCCGGAUUUAUUGGGUUUAAAGGGAGCGUAGGUGGAUUGUUAAGUCAGUUGUGAAAGUUUGCGGCUCAACCGUAAAAUUGCAGUUGAAACUGGCAGUCUUGAGGACAGUAGAGGUGGGCGGAAGUCGUGGUGUAGCGGUGAAAUGCUUAGAUAUCACGAAGAACUCCGAUUGCGAAGGCAGUUCACUGGACUGCAACUGACACUGAGGCUCGAAAGUGUGGGUAUCAAACAGGAUUAGAUACCCGUGUAGUC